UAGAGGAAGUAAAAGUCGUAACAAGGUCUCCGUAGGUGAACCUGCGGAGGGAUCAUUACAGAGUUCAUGCCCUUACGGGUAGAUCUCCCACCCUAUGUUAUUAUUACCUUUGUUGCUUUGGCGGGCCGUCAGGCCUCGGUCAGGCUAUCGGCUCCGGCUGGUAAGCGCCCGCCAGAGGACCCAAAAACUCUGAAUGUUAAUGUCGUCUGAGUACUAUAUAAUAGUUAAAACUUUCAACAACGGAUCUCUUGGUUCUGGCAUCGAUGAAGAACGCAGCGAAAUGCGAUAAGUAAUGUGAAUUGCAGAAUUCAGUGAAUCAUCGAAUCUUUGAACGCACAUUGCGCCCCUUGGUAUUCCGAGGGGCAUGCCUGUUCGAGCGUCAUUGCAACCCUCAAGCAUUGCUUGGUAUUGGGCUCCGCUGCUCACCCAGCGGGCCUUAAAAUCAGUGGCGGUGCCGUCGAGGCCCUGAGCGUAGUAAAUAUCCUCGCUAUAGGGACUCGGUGGACGCUGGCCAUUAACCCCCAACUUUCUAAGUUUGACCUCGGAUCAGGUAGGGAUACCCGCUGAACUUAAGCAUAUCAAU
rnacentral:rRNA from 1 species